UACGGGUGGUGCUAGUGUUAUUCCUCUUGACUAGGUGUAAAGGGUGCGUAGGUAGAAAUAGGGUUUUAACUAAACAUGAAAUUAGUUCUUUACCUUUUUCUUGAGUUUUUUAGACGAUAAUGGAACUUCCUGCAUUAGAGUUAAAAUACGUUUAAACUGGAAGGAACACCAAGGGCGAAGGCAGCUUACUACGCAUAUAUUGACGCUGAGGCACGAAAGCGUGGGGAUCAAACAGG
rnacentral:rRNA from 1 species